UACGGGGGGGGCAAGCGUUGUUCGGAAUUACUGGGCGUAAAGGGCUCGUAGGCGGCCAACUAAGUCAGACGUGAAAUCCCUCGGCUUAACCGGGGAACUGCGUCUGAUACUGGAUGGCUUGAGUUUGGGAGAGGGAUGCGGAAUUCCAGGUGUAGCGGUGAAAUGCGUAGAUAUCAGGAGGAACACCGACGGCGAAGGCAGCACUCUGGGCCGGUACUGACGCUGAGGAGCGAAAGCAUGGGGAGCGAACAGG
rnacentral:rRNA from 1 species